GUUGAACUAAUUAUCUUGAUUUUUAUUGAUUGUAGUACUUGUAGUGAUUGUUACUGAUUAUGUUGAUAAUAUGUUGAUAGAUGUGUGUUUUAUUUAAUUUGAUUUAGAAUUGUUCUUGGUAUCUUAGUGUUUUAGGAUUCUAUGGAGCAUGAGAGUAAUUUUGAAUUGCAAACACCUAUAUGGUGGAAUUUUGUUGAAUUGUUUUUUGUAUUUUGAAUUGAUUGUUAUUGAUUCAUUGCUUGCUAACACGUAUUUGUGAAUUUGAAAACACCUAUUUGCGAAUUUUUGUUUUUAUUUUGGAUUUUUAGAAUUUUUGAAUUGUUCUUGGUGAAUUUUUGAAUUCUUCUAGGUAAAUUGAAUUGUCCUUUUGUAGUGAUUGGUACUGAUAUUUGUAGUGAAAGAAUUGUUAAUUACAUUUACAAUGUAAUGGUUGGUUAAUUUUCAUAAUUUUCAAUUUAGAUGACAACUUUAUACAAAUGGAGAAUGGGAGUAAUAUAUGUUGUGCUUGUUUUCAUUGUAGUCAAUGGCCAUGCCGUCAAGUGAGAUUUUGUCUAGGAAGGUGAUCAAAAUCAUAAAAUUAAUGAUUCUCCGUUGGAUGUAGAUAGGUGUUUGCAAUUUAAAACAAGUUGGUCUCACUUGAAGCACUUUUAUGACAUUGUGGUGAAAGAUAAUCCUCAUUCCUUGAAUGUGUUGCAAAGGUGUGGGUUUUCUUCGAUGUUUGAAUUUAAUUUAUGUUGUGCCGAUUUUAAAUUAACCGAAGCACUUAUGGAGAGAUGGUGGAAGAAAACCAUGUCAUUUCAUUUUCCGGAAUUCGAGUUAGGGAUCACACCUUUAGAUUUUGUAAGGCUAACCGGUAUUCCAAUAGGCGGUGGUCGAAAGUUGCCAACAAUACCUGUAGGUUUGAAGAAGAGACAUUAUAUAGGAUAUGAUAGCACAUAUCUUUCUUGCGUGAAGGAAAAUCAUGGUGCAAGAACCGCUGCGUAUGAGCAGGCGGUUAGAGAACGUCGUAAGGGUGAUAAAGUUGGUGUGUGGGAUUCUUCUGCUAGUGUCAUUCCAAUAAGUUUUCUUGUACACUACAUUAAUAGUAGGGAAAACCAAAACAACGAGGGUGUAUGGGAAGAAUUGACUAGAAUUUUUUUAUUGUGGUGCAUUGGUAGAUUUCUUUUAGGCAACACCACGACAAGAGUAAGUAAGGGAUGGUUAGAAUUGCUUCAGAAUUUUCAUAACUUGGACGAAUAUGAUUGGGGUAGCGCCGCAUUAGGAAACUUGUAUGAUUGCCUUGACAGAUGGACUACUAGCGAUCGUGACGAAAUGGGUAGGAUGUGGAAUAUUGUUGAGUAUUGGUAUUAUUUUUAUUUCCGCAAUUGCCAACCAUUUUUGAGGAUAGACGAGACUAUCAUCAAUAAUCAGUGCAUCUAUCCCGCAAUUUUAUUAUUCAGGAAGGACAAUCAUCGAGGUCAAGUGGAUAGAUUUAAGCAUUCAAUUAGUGUAGCCCGACACCAGAUUGAUAUGAGAACUGGAGAUGCCGUAAUAUGGCAACCUUGGAGAGAUGAUGAGUACAGCGGUUAUCCAGAGGUGUUGGAGGCAAGAAAUUUAUCAUACCAAAGAGUUGUGUUCUAUGGGGUAAGGGUGAGAGGUUGAGUGUGUACCUCGGUGAGAGAUUUGUGCGUCAGAUUAAGGGUGACAUAGUCAUCCCAUGUGAUCCACCCGAUUUAGAUUCUGUCCAGGCGAUCGAUGUUCAUCCCGUAGUUCAUUACUGGUUACCCUGUGAUGCCGAGAUGUACUCUGCAUGGUGAAAAUCGAAGAGUUUUGGAACAUGGUAUCCUGAAGGAUUUACACACAUACAAAAUCAUGAUGUGAUUGGUGUAGUUAAUAGCACACGUGUAUGUCGACCAUCCCGUCCACCUCCCGACAUGAUGUCUCAGUCCUAUGCGGAUUAUCCGGAGGACGAGUCGGUGAGUGAACUACCAGUAGUCGAUUGGCGUGUCCCUGUUUACAUGAAUGGUGAGCUAACAGAUUGGGUUGUGUCGAGGCCUACAUCUUAUCCCUAUAAUUUUGAUCACGUUACCGCCGGACGGGAGGAUUUGUUGAACAAGCUUUUCGAGCAACACAUGUUUAUCAAUGAAUCCAAAAGAACUAUUCAGGAGCAUACAAGAAAAUAGUGUCUUCGUGGGAGCUCUUCUUCCUAUUUAAGCCAACAAUUUGAGUGAGUCCUCUUCAGUAUGUACUGAGUCCUCUUCAGUAAGUAGAAACACAAACAAAGUUAAACUUUGUGUAAAGUUAAUCAUGCGCUUUAGUAGUGAAGAAGAUUUUGGAGUUGUGCAGGCAUGAAUUUCAGUUACAAAUCAAGGUCCACCGGGUGAAUGUGAAAAUGAACAAUCUAUUUUUUGGCGCCAUGUUUUUCAAUCAUUUGACCGCAAAUGAAAACGACAGAACAAAGACGUCUAUUAAAAAAGAUAUGCUUUGAUCACGGCCAAAAUUGAUACUUUUGUAACAUUUUUGUUUGAUGUUAACAUAGGUAAUCCUGCAUUGUCCUAUGAAGCUCGCGUAAGUAAAUAUAUCACCUUAAUAAUUAGUUAAUCCAACACAAAAAUUACGGUACUUAUUCAUUUCUAACUUUUUUUGUUUGCUGCAGAAAACCCAAGCUCGGAUCCAAUUUAGUGCAAAAACAAAGAAACCAUUUAAUUAUGAUCAAUUGUGUGAGCUCUUAAAGGACGUAGUCCCAGCAUACAGUGUAGAGUGAAUCCGUAUGUGUAAUCGACCAUUAAGAACAAUAUAAUUGAACUUUAUUGUUUUCGAGAUCA